rnacentral:piRNA from 1 species
UCCCAGGCUGCUUGGAAAGAUGAACGUU